GAAGAAAAGUUAGGAAGAUUUGAAAUAUACGAUUUUAGAGAAACUCAUAUGUUAGAUUGGCUUGAUGAAGAUGAUUCUGUGAGAAUAAAAAAUACUGGAGAUUGUUAAAGGAAAAUAGGUAAGAAGAAAUGAAACAAUAUAAUCUAGAAUGAUUAAUUUUUUUUAUGAUUAUAAUUACAACGCAAUGAGCUAUCCACACAAAUAUGAUAAGAUAUUUUUGGAAAAGAAAAAUCAAACCCUCUCAUACAUUCUAAAAGGCCAUAAAAUUAUGUUGAACCCCAAAUCUCGAAUUUAAUCAAGUUUUUAUGAUAUCAAGAAAUUAGCUUUUUGUUUGUAGAAAUAUGUGAGCCAGAUUUCUUUAUAUCUUAUACAAUAAAGUAGAUUUUUCUUUCUUUUCCUUCCUCCACGUCAUCACGGAGAGAAGGGCAAAUCCCAACACGUGUCUGCUCAAAAGUUUUUCCUUCCUUUACUAUGUUUGGGCUGUUGUUGUUGUGUCCUUUGUUUAUGUUGAGUUUUUGUGUUUGGGCUUUUAUAUUAAGGUUUUUGUUGAGGCCCGUUGUUUCUAGGUCUGAAUGAGUUAGACCCAUUUAUAGCAUCUCCUAUCUUCUAUCUUCUAUCUUCUAUCUUCUGCUUCCAUGGGCGUGUGCAACACCUCCUUCACCGUUACAGCGAUAACCAAGCCUUACCAUUACUGUGCUCUUUAACUCUUAGAAAUUAUGAAAACCCACUAUUCAUGUUUCCCAGACCCUGCUGUAUGUAAACCUUAGCUAUGAAUCCAGAAAACGAAUGGCCUUCUCACAACCAUUUUCUUCUUCAGCUUUAGAAAGUAACAUAUAGCUGAGUGGACCCGGAGAAGGAUUAACUGACAAUAGUUAGAAAGGCCUCAAUAUUUUGCUCCGCCCCUUCAAUUGGAAAAGGUUAUCAACUACUUCGCAAGGUCAGUUAUCUCUUUACUAACUAUGUCAAACUAUAAAAUACACAAUUUUGAAGAGAACUAGCACUAUGCCAAACUAUGCCAAACCAAGUUUUUGUUCCCAAACUAGCAGUCAAGGCUCAAAGUCACAAAAAUAGGUUUCAUUAAAGAGGUAUACAUUUAUACCCAUUGGAUUAAUUAAUCUAAAGCUUAGGGUUUAGAGUUAAGGGGUGGAGUUUUGGAAUUAGAGUUUAAAAUUUUAUAAAAUAAAAAAUAAAUACUAAAAAAUUAAAAAUAAAAUUUAAAAAACAGUUUCAAAAAGUAUUUUUGAAUUAUAAAAAGAAAAUUUGGAAAAAAAAAAUUUCAAAAAAAAUUAUAAAAAGUUUCGAAUCUGAAAACAUAUAAUCUGAAACUAUAAAAAAAAAUUAUUUUUUCAUUUUUUUAUUUUUAUUUUAUUUGUUUUUAUUUAUUUUUGUAUGUUUAUUUAAUUUUAAACCAAGGGUAUUAAAGAUAUUAUACCCUUUAAUGAAUGUCAUUUUUUGACUUUUUCCUUCUAAUGCUAUUUUGAGACAAAAACUCAAAAGGUGUUAUUAUUGACAAUUGCCCAAUUUUGAAUACAAUUUGCAAUUUUUUUAAUCCGUUCAGUUACUUUCAGGCUCUUAACAUUUUCGUACUAUGUCCAAGUUAAAUCUUUUGGUGUCCUGAUGGCAAAGUCAUAGUUGUUGAGCUCGAAAUGGAAACAUAUGCGUUUCAAGUUGUUCAAGUAAGCAAACCUCAACCAUGUUCUCACAUCGUGAAGUUGUCAAUGGUCUAGAAAUGAACGAACACAUGCUUUUAUCCGAAUGUUGUCAAUACUCUUAUGCAUAACGGGAAGCCCCAAGCUCUAGCUGUCGUGUGUCUGAUUUCAGAAUUUGUUGAAUACAUACAGGUUAUAUAUUGAAUUAACCCUUCACCAAACACUUUCGCUCUCCCAUUUUAAUCCUCAUUCUACGGUGAAGUAUAGAUACAAAUAUUGUCCGAUCCCAUCCCAUCCCACAUCAGUGUAAAAAUAUUGAGCCUUCCUUUUGCUCUGUAAUUUGAUUGCAGAAACAGAAAUGUCUUCUACCUGAAGAUCUCCCCGCAUAAGGAAUGCAUCAGCAGGAUCACCUCUUUGGAGAUCUUUGGGAGGCUCUCUGGGGGUUAUGGAUGAUAGAGCUAAAUAAAUUUACAUAUCACUUGAAGAGAUGAAUGUGGUUGCUGAUUACAUCAAACGUCAAGGAAGACUUAGUAUCUCACAUCUAUCCAACAACUGACUGUGGACCAUGCAAUCAUCUUUCUAUCGGUACCAGCUGCAACUUCAGAGGACCCACAUACCUUACGAUUGGUUGUUGGAUCUAUUGCUAUUGGAUGAGAGGGAGCUUAGCUUGGACUCACUUACACAUCCAUAGCUAUGGAAUACAGAGCAAUACUGCAGGUUGGUGCAACAUCGUCGAAAACAUUAAAGCAUAUCAGUGUUUUUUGCAUUAAGAAGUUGAAUGGGUUUUUAAUAGUAUUGUUCCCAAUCUAAAAGAUAACACCACAAAAACUCCUAGCAUGUUUUAUUCUGGGAAUUACUGCACACUAAGCUAAAUUUUGUCCC